GGGGCCGUUACGGAUUCGACAGGUAUAGGUCGAGCUUUCAUUGCAUUUCGUAGGUUACGGCUACGUAAAAACGUUACAGUUAAAUAUAACUGACAAAACACAAACAAACACUUUAGCUUUCGCAGCGUAAUAACUGCUAGCUAAGAUCUGCCAGGCAUCGCCCAUGUGCUCUGUUCCAGGUCCUAUAAUCAGUGGGAUACGAUUGAUUUUUCCGUCUGUCUAAAUCAAUAAGAGAUCAUCAGGCUAGCUUGUUAGAAUGCUCGUUUAUCGGCUACUACCAAGCGAAACAUUAAAUCGAUAAACUAUGAUUGUAGACGUGAAAGUGGCGAUAUAUUUGGACAGGGGUUCGACUCCCCUCGGCUCCAUUC
rnacentral:tmRNA from 1 species